CUAGCCGUAGAUCUGAGAUGGAACCAAGUUAUUACGGUGUAGAUUAAUUUUCGUCAAAAAGAAAACUUUCGGCCAGAUUAGUUCGGCUGAAAAGAAAAAACCAGAAAGCCCACCAUCUUUGAAGCCCAAGUAGAGGCCCAUAACUCUCUCACGGUAGUACUCUCUCAAUCUCUCAGCUCUCUCUUCCUCUCUCGUAUCUUUCUCUCCAAAACAGAUCAGGCCUCGCCCCCGUAGAUCUCCUUCCAUCCUUCCGUUCGCCGCCCUUCCCAACUGCAACAUCAUCCAGCUUCCCCGACCGCCGCCCUUCCUUGCCGCAUCUUAUCCACGUUGGAAUCGAUCCGAAAAACAAGGACCAGAUGAAUAUGUCCAUUGUGGUUGAUGGAGUGGAGGAGGUGUACCAUGUACCAUGACGGUUUGAAGCAGAUUGGAUGGCCGUCUCUGUCAACCCGGCUGCCUAGCAAACAACGAUGGAGAUUUGGUAGCAAAAUGGCUGAUGCAAGCUCUGCAAUUUUCUAAGGAAGAUUUGUGGUAAGUGCAUAUCUAAGUAAAUUGGGAUGGACUAAUAUUUGUUUAUCAUUUUUAUCAGUUUAUUAUAUAAAAGGCCCUGAUGCACAUAGUGGGCAGUCAUGUACAGCUGACAUAGUUGAUGUUUGAUAACAGUUGGUUCAAGGUAUGUGGCCUUUUUUCAUUUUUCCAGACCUAUCUAUUUUCUGAGUUCUGCUGAGCCGGUAAAGACAAUAGAUCGAGAUAUUUCGGUCCCUACGGAUUCUUUGUUAUUUGAGGACUAAGCAUUAAACAUGUUCCAGUUUCCAGCCCAUUACAUGUAGAUUAGUUAUUUAUUGAGUUACUAGAAAUUGUUUAAGGUUCCAAUUUAUUCUCAGUUAUGUUGUGAAGGGCUGCACAUGUGAAUUGACAUAGCAAACCACUUAUGUUGAUAUGCCUAAAGCAUGUACAUUUACUUUCCUAUUAUGAAAAAAAUUCAAUCAUCAAUUUACUGGGUCAAAGAAACCAUUCGAUAUAUCAGUUUUUGUUGGUGUUGAACGCAUACUAUACAAAGUUUUCCCAGCUUAUUAUAAUUUGGUACACUGUAGAUAUGGUGUGUGUAGUUUUUUUUGUUAAAUCUUCCACCAGAAAAUGUUAUUUCGGAAGGUUGGUGCUGACACCCAAUAAGAUCCUCCUAGAUCUGCCCUCUGUCGAGCACAUUACUUGGUGGAUAUGACGGGCAAACUUCAGUUUCAGGGAGAGUACAGUUUUGGCAUGUUGUUAUUCUUAUGAAGAAUAAUCUCCCCUUGCAGCUAACAUACAUAGGAUUGUUGGAUCAUCACAAGAUUUUCUUUAUGAGUAGGGACGUAACUUUAUUACCGUAAACUCAUCUACAAUCAUGCAUCGAUCCAUGGGUACACAUAUUAGAUGAAAAAACUGUUAUAGGCUCACUAUAUACGUGAACAAAUCUGGAGCCUAUGGAAUGUUGAAUGGUAAAGAGGGAUUUAUCGUUUCACUUUACUUGACACAUUAAUCCUUUGUCCCUGGCUUCUAAUUAUUGUGAAAGAAGGAUUAUUUAGCUUUUAGUCGGUGUCUAAUUAAACUAUUUUCCAAUACCUGAUGAAAAUGUUAAUUCAUCCAACAUUUCAGACUACUUUUGUGCGUGCUUCAUGUAGGUAUUUGUACCCAGCAAACAACCUAUGACCGAACAAUAUAUUUUAUGCUUUAUCUCGAUGGUACUCACUGAUACAAAUAUGGAAUUGAUGGAUAAGUAUAAUUAAUGGAUGCAUAGUUAGAUACUUGAUGAUGAAUAGACUGAAUAAAUAGAUGCAUACAUGAAUGAUUGGAUUCUCGGUGGAGAAGCCACAUAUGCCUCCCUGUGUCUUCUAGAUCAUCCCUGAAUCAGAGAUCGCACAAACUCUUGAUGUUCUCAGUUGGGCUCCCUGAUAUGGCUAAUGCAGUUUGCUUAGAUUUAAUAUUACAUGCUACCACAGGUUGUCUCCAGCGAGCUGAUUUGCUUUGUUUGUAGUGAAUUAGGCAUCUGCUCAAGUCUUGAAGAUGACUCUAGCACUAAAGUAUGUAAUGCAAAGUAUUAGGAAAUACAACAGCUUUUAAGAUAUUCACCAUGAUGCAAAUUUUGUUCUUUGAUCUUCUCUGUCAGUGAACUGAUCGCUACUUGCAGGAAAAGGUGUCGGCCGGCAGGGGUAAUAGUGCAUCAAUGAAGGUCAGAACAGGUCUGGAACAUGAUUAGCAAACUUACAGGUUCGUUCACGGGCAGACUACGAGGGCUUUCUUAACAUUAAUUGGAUCUGGAAAAAAACUGUUGAGGGGUUUCCGUAUGCCAAUAUCACCAAAAGUGCGAGUUCAGGGAGAAAAUUUCUUCUUUCUACUUGAUCAAGUAUACCUCCAUGUUGAUAGACCACUCAAUAUUUUUUUUAGCGUCUCUAGAUUAUAAUAUGGUUGUCUGUGACCAAAGAACUACUGCAAAGCAUACAUAAGUGGUAUUGUAGCUCAGAGCAAAGAAAAAUUGGAAAUGCUAUUUGGAUAGGAAAAAGUUUAUAGCUUAGAUGAUACUAAUUCCACCUCCAGUAUGAUCGUAUUUCUCGAUAAGAUAUGGCCAUACGAUGUCAAAUAGCACUCAAUUUUCCCAUGUAUGUUAGAUGAAACGCACAAGGAAAAAAGUCAUGGACUCACUUGCAGGCGCCUAAUGUGUCCUUUUGUUAAGUAGCAAUGCAUGCUUCAGCUUAUAAUCUAUUCAAUAAAUUUGAUGGUCUUAUCUCAUAUUUUUAGUUAUUCUACAAUGUCAAAGUUGACAUUAGGGAUCACGCCCUCAUGUUCUUAUAGGAAUAACCUCUUGCUAACAUUCUGAGACAUGACUGUAUUUAGUCUCUCUUCAAAUAUGCUUGAGUUGAUACAUUUUCUGUCCUCCUAAUUCUGUUUCCUCACCUGAAUCAAAUGUAAGUUGGUCAUACCUAGCCAUGAGGAACAAAUUUCUUUUUCUGUUCUCCAUAACUACUGUUGAAUAAAUUGGCCGGUCAAUGCAAUGGCAGUGGCAGGAAACAUCAGCACCACACUGCAAAUCUUGAAAAAACAAAUGGUACACAUACGAUGCUUUGCUAACGGAUGGUGGUAGGACACAAAUGUGGACCAUACAGGUUGAAAACAAGAGAGAUACUAAUAUACUAUGUCAUUGGUCGUAUUUUUCUAUGAGAAAGCCAUUGGUCGUACUAGGAUAGGACAAUAUGUGUAGCAUCACUCAACUAGCGUAGUAGUGAGUCCAUUUAUAGGCUAUUGCUAGGAAAAGUUUUACUUCAGGAGGAGUCGCCUGUUGGUACACUUAUUUAUACGACAACUUGAAGUUAGAUUGUUUUCCUUGGAGUUAUAAAGCAAGGUAAUAUUAUCUCACAUAUUUUAAUUACAUGCAUGAUUUUUAUUUCUCCUUCUAACUAAAAAACAACACGUAAUCUUGGUUCAUGUUGAAAAGAACGAAAAAUGUUUCUAAAAUGUUUUCGAUUCACCUAUAUUUUUCUUUGCAUAAUUCAUUAUAUUAAUCUUGGCCCACUCAAUUUUUAUUUCUUGCUGAUAUAUAAUCAAUAUUUCAUAUUUUGUAAAGUGAUGUAGAUCACAUGACACCAGGGAACCAAAGCAAUGCAUGUGGACUGUAUAAACAUCUGAAUAUUUUAUCGCACUUCCACUUGAUUUCUGAGAUUGGGCAAAUAAUCAAGUGGCCGCUACUGGGCGAUUCUCUUUUAGUGUGUACAAUCUUUCAACAAUUCAGCAUGGAGAAUUCCUAAUGAGUAUACGAAGAAAUCAUGUGUUUCUCAAUAUAACAGCAUGGCAGACACUGAUGGACUCGAGUUUAUUUAGUUGCUUGACAGUAUGGCAUGAUUACAAACAUCACGCUGCUCUGUGGUUCAGUAAUUGUACACUAUAUUUAAGAAAGUAUUGUCAGCAGUUUUGUUUGUAAACAUCCGAAUAUCAUUUGUUUCCACAAUUGAAGCAUUAGUAA